GACGAACGCUGGCGGCGUGCUUAACACAUGCAAGUCGAACGAUGAAGCCUAGCUUGCUAGGUGGAUUAGUGGCGAACGGGUGAGUAAUACGGGAGUAACCUAGCUUUAACUCUUGGAUAAGCCUGGGAAACUGGGUCUAAUAGCGGAUACGACCAAUCACCGCAGGGGGUAUUGGUGGAAAGCGUGAUGUUGUGGUUAUAGAUAGUCUCACGGCCUAUCAGCUUGUUUGUGAGGGAACGGCUCACCAAGGCGACGACGGGUAGCCGGCCUUAGAGGGUGAACGGGCACACUGGGACUGAGACACGGACCAGACUCCUACGGGGGGCAGCAGUGGCGAAUAUUGCACAAUGGUCCCAAGCCGGAUGCAGCGACGCCGCGUUAGGGAUGACGGUCUUUGGGGUGUAAACAUCUGUUAGCAGAUAAGCAGUGAAAUUGACGGUACCUGCAGAGAAAGCGCCGGCUAACUACGUG
rnacentral:rRNA from 1 species